rnacentral:rRNA from 1 species
UACAGAGGUCCCAAGCGUUGUUCGGAUUCACUGGGCGUAAAGGGUGCGUAGGCGGUCGGGUAAGUCUGACGUGAAAUCUUCAAGCUCAACUUGGAAACUGCGUCCGAUACUAUUCGGCUAGAGGAAUGGAGGGGAGACUGGAAUACUUGGUGUAGCAGUGAAAUGCGUAGAUAUCAAGUGGAACACCGGUGGCGAAGGCGGCGAUCUGGACGAUGACUGACGCUGAGACGCGAAAGCGUGGGGAGCAAACAGG